GUGCUUCCUUUUACAGCACAUAUCCUAAAAUUGGAAUGAUACAGAGAAGAUUAGCAUGGGUCUGGCACAAGGAUGACAUGCAAAUUCAUAAAGAAUUCCAUAUUUUU